AUUCAUGUUAAAAGGAAAAAUUUAGACCAACUUGAUGAUGAUGUUGAAGAGGAAGAUGAUGAAAGGCAUUCAAGGAUGUUGCAAGGAAUCACUGGAAUGCCAAUUGAGGCUUUUGAGGGCAAGAAGANNNNNNNNNNNNCUGAGGCAUAUCCCGAGUCUGAAUAUAAUCCAAGUCGUGAUGUUUUAGAUGGUGAUGGCCACAUUACUAUUGAAGAUCUUUUAGGAAGUCUUCAGGGGAAAUCAUUUUUUAGCGAACUUCGGAAGAGAACACAUCAGAUGGAGAGGAAGUCUGCUCCUCUGCAAGGUCCACUUCCGAAGGGAGUUAGAGACAAGUUGGAGAGAAAGGCAGCUUAUGAGCACUCAAAGAAAGAUAUUACAAAGUGGG
rnacentral:misc_RNA from 1 species